AAUAGCGUAUAUUAAAGUUGCUGCAGUUAGAACGCUCGUAGUCUGUGUGUGUGCAAGCUCCCAUCCUGUUUCGCUGUGUAAACUGUGUUCAGGAUGGGGGUUACACAUAGUGGCCGACUGCUGGCAACAGCUUUCGGACAUUUGUACCUUGAGAAAACUAGAGUGCUCUAAGCGGGUGAUUACUGAUAUAUUUUACCAUGGGAUCCAGUUAUGGGACAUGCUCUAUUGUGUGAGAGGCUUGUCCAUUGCAGAUCAAGAGGAGCUAUUGGGGACGUUCGGAUUUUGCAGUUAGAGGUGAAAUUCUUGGAUCUGCUUGAGUCGAGCAAGUGCGAAGGCAGCCGUCAAAGAUGCCUUCAUUGA
rnacentral:rRNA from 1 species